GAUGAACGCUGGCGGCGUGCCUAAUACAUGCAAGUCGAGCGAACGGACGAGAAGCUUGCUUCUCUGAUGUUAGCGGCGGACGGGUGAGUAACACGUGGAUAACCUACCUAUAAGACUGGGAUAACUUCGGGAAACCGUAGCUAAUACCGGAUAAUAUUUUGAACCGCAUGGUUCAAAAGUGAAAGACGGUCUUGCUGUCACUUAUAGAUGGAUCCGCGCUGCAUUAUCUAGUUGGUAAGGUGACGGCUUACCAAGGCAACGAUGCAUAGCCGACCUGAGAGGGUGAUCGGCCACACUGGAACUGAGACACGGUCCAGACUCCUACGGGAGGCAGCAGUAGGGAAUCUUCCGCAAUGGGCGAAAGCCUGACGGAGCAACGCUGCGUGAGUGAUGAAGGUCUUCGGAUCGUAAAACUCUGUUAUUAGGGAAGAACAUAUGUGUAAGUAACUGUGCACAUCUUGACGGUACCUAAUCAGAAAGCCACGGCUAACUACGUG
rnacentral:rRNA from 1 species